AAAGCGAUACCGCGAGGAGGAGCAAAUCUGAAAAAAGACGUCCCUAGUUCGGAUUGUAGGCUGAAACUCGCCUACAUGAAGCUGGAAUUGCUAGUAAUCACAGGUCAGCAUACUGUGGUGAAUACGUUCCCGGGCCUUGUACACACCGCCCGUCACACCAUGAGAGUUGGGGAUACCCGAAGCCUGUGAGCUAACUUUAUAAGGAGCAGCAGUCGAAGGUAGAAUCAAUGAUUGGGGUGAAGUCGUAACAAGGUAAC
rnacentral:rRNA from 1 species